CAUCCUCCAAGGCUAAAUACUCCUGACUGACCGAUAGUGAACCAGUACCGUGAGGGAAAGGCGAAAAGAACCCCGGCGAGGGGAGUGAAAAAGAACCUGAAACCGUGUACGUACAAGCAGUGGGAGCCUCUUUAUGGGGUGACUGCGUACCUUUUGUAUAAUGGGUCAGCGACUUAUAUUCUGUAGCAAGGUUAACCGAAUAGGGGAGCCGAAGGGAAACCGAGUCUUAACUGGGCGUUAAGUUGCAGGGUAUAGACCCGAAACCCGGUGAUCUAGCCAUGGGCAGGUUGAAGGUUGGGUAACACUAACUGGAGGACCGAACCGACUAAUGUUGAAAAAUUAGCGGAUGACUUGUGGCUGGGGGUGAAAGGCCAAUCAAACCGGGAGAUAGCUGGUUCUCCCCGAAAGCUAUUUAGGUAGCGCCUCGUGAAUUCAUCUCCGGGGGUAGAGCACUGUUUCGGCAAGGGGGUCAUCCCGACUUACCAACCCGAUGCAAACUGCGAAUACCGGAGAAUGUUAUCACGGGAGACACACGGCGGGUGCUAACGUCCGUCGUGAAGAGGGAAACAACCCAGACCGCCAGCUAAGGUCCCAAAGUCAUGGUUAAGUGGGAAACGAUGUGGGAAGGCCCAGACAGCCAGGAUGUUGGCUUAGAAGCAGCCAUCAUUUAAAGAAAGCGUAAUAGCUCACUGGUCGAGUCGGCCUGCGCGGAAGAUGUAACGGGGCUAAACCAUGCACCGAAGCUGCGGCAGCGAC
rnacentral:rRNA from 1 species